rnacentral:rRNA from 1 species
GUCUUCCAGUAUGGGGAGCAAAACAGCUAUGGGUCAAGUCCGAUAUCUUUAGGAGAAGUCUUAUUGUGAGGGCGAGUUAUAUAACACCAUAGGACUGGCCGUCCCAUAUGAAAAGAUUAUAUUAGAAUUGAAUGAAGCUUUGUUUAUAUAUUGAUAAUGACAGUAUAUAUAUCGUGUCUUGACUAAUUGCGUGCCAGCAGUCGCGGUAAUACGUAAGAGACUAGUGUUAUUCAUCUUAAUUAGGUUUAAAGGGUACCCAGACGGUCAAUAUAGCUUAUAAAAUGUUAGUACUUGACUAGAGUUUUAUGUAAGAGGGCAGUACUUGAGGAGGAGAGAUGAAAUUUCGUGAUACCAAAGGGACUCUGUAAAGGCGAAGGCAGCCCUCUAUGUAAAAACUGACGUUGAAGGACGAAGGCACAGAGAACAAACAGGAUUAGAUACCCAAGUAGUCUUUGCAGUAAAUGAUGAAUGCCAUAGGUUAGAUUGGUCAAUUAUAGUCUAGGGUUAGUCUAGCAAACUAAUACCCUAUGCUAUAAUCCUAAUAUCUGGUCUAUAAAUGAAAGUGUAAGCAUUUCACCUCAAGAGUAAUGUGGCAACGCAGGAACUGAAAUCACUAAACCGUUUCUGACACCAGUAGUGAAG